GCGUCUGUAGCUCAAUGGUAGAGCUGUGGCCUUCCAAGCCUCCGACUCGGGUUCGAUUCCCGACAGCCGCUCCA
rnacentral:tRNA from 1 species